CAGAAGAGGAGAGUGGAAUUCCAUGUGUAGCGGUGAAAUGCGUAGAUAUAUGGAGGACCCCCAGUGGCGAAGGCGGCUCUCUGGUCUGUAACUGACGCUGAGGCUCGAAAGCGUGGGGAGCAAACAGGAUUAGAUUCCCUGGUAGUCCACGCCGUAAACGAGGAGUGCUAAGUGUUGGAGGGUUUCCGCCCUUCAGUGCUGCAGCUAACGCAUUAAGCACUCCGCCUGGGGAGUAC
rnacentral:rRNA from 1 species